UUUAGUUCACUGAUAUGUAUAUUACACUGGAUAAAGCACCACGAUAAAAUAUAGUAAGAUAAUUGAAGCCAGAAGUUGGCUAAUCUGAUUAUGACCUUCGUGGGGGGUAUCAGUCCCACUUUACUAUACUUUUGUAAUACAAAAUCACAGUUUUUGCAUUUUUAUUCGUUCUAUCAACAUUUGAUUCUAGCAAAAUUUUUGUGAAAGGGACAGAACAACCGGCAAAACCUUUUGAUGAACAUUAAUCGUCCAGAUUUGUUGAGAAAAGUAGAGUUGCCAUAUUGAAUAAUUCCGACGAGCUCACGAUCGGAAAUUAUCGUCGUGACGUCCAAAUUCUUUCUCAAACACGAGAUAAUUUUCCCGCGUCGUUCAAGUUAAAAUGGGAACUUCUUCACAUCAUCUCUGCAAAGAAACGACGAUUUCAGGGUUGAAAUAUAUGUCGUUUGUGUCUCAUUUCAUUUUAAAUACGGUUCUACUACUUAACGUACCAAAACGUUUCUGUUUAGUUGUUCCCUUAAAGCAAGCCGAAAAGCUGAAUUCGGAAGCCGACAAAGAGGGUAUGCGUUUGACAAAGACGAAAGCAAGAGCAUGUUGAACAGUUCAUAUGGACAAAGCAUCCCGCUUUCCACUGGAAAAGAAUGAAUCUAAUAAUAUCGACGUUAAACAUAGAUUGUUACAAGCAUCCCGCUUGCCGAUAUGUAUAAGUAUAAUCACAAGGUUAAAUAGUUGGAAUGUUAUUAAACAAAAAGAAUGCUAUCAUUGUAUAACGUAAUGUUAUAAGCAACAACUACAAACAAUAACGAUCUUAUCUAACAACAUUUGAGAAGAUUAACUUUCCACUUAACAUUUUCCCUUUGGAAGAGAUUUUAACAGAUAGCCAAAAUAAAAGUGUGAGAAACCUCUUACAUAACAAGUCUGAAAGUGGAAACGGAAAAUGAAUGAUUUACUAAGUUUGCUAGAGGAGAACAAAUGAGUGAAUGAAACCUUGAAUCAAUAAGAAAUGUAUGUACUCGACGAGCAAAUGGAAGCAUUUCAAUUGCAACAACAGCCAAGCAAUACUUUUUUCAUGGCUUUAAACACAAAGACUCAGAUCUUCAUCCUUACAAACCUCGCGAAGAAACCGUUGCUCGUGUAUGGAAAAAAUCUGAUUAUAUUUCCUUUGUAUUUUCUAUUUGUUUGGACCACGCAGACGGGGCGUUGCAGAUUUGUAAAAACUUCAUUAAAGAUGAAAGUCUCAGAAGCAUCUUACCAAGCGAAACGAGCAGGUCGAACAUUUGUCUUGGACAUUUCAUUUGUGUGGUGGACUUAUCGAUAGAUUAAAAAGGCUUCAUCAAGGAAAAUUUCAAAUCAUUGAUAAAGAAUGCUAAUGCAUCAGAGUAGCAAGACUUUGACAACAUGAUAUUGGCCAUGGACCGUUCUCUCAUUUCUUUGAGCCCACCAAAGAUGCAACAAAUUUCGAUUUCAAUGAGUCAAACUGCAAUAAGAGAUGAAGACAAGAAAGAGCGACAAGCAGCUUUGGCUGAAAACCAUGAAAGAUAGGCAAGGUCACAAUUCGUUUGUUGAAGUUUGCUGAAGAAGCCAUUGUCAAUGAAGUUGAAAGCGAUGUGUGGAAGAUUUUCUCCGACAUUUCCACCAGCUGCUGGUUCAGUUCAAGGACAAAUACUCUUCAGCAAGGAGCCGCAAGUCUCUCAUCAAUGUUCAUUCAAUUGCUUCAGGGCAGUAGAAUCAUCGCGAUUAUUUGAAUAGAUUUAUAGAGUAAUAACAUGUACUUUUAAAGAAGAAAUUCUCGUUGUAGUUUUGUCACCGCCACAAACGAAGAACAAUGUUUACGAAGCUCAAAGCCACAUGUUUUUGAUGAAGCAGCCAUUGGCAAUGAACUUUUAACAUGCAAUUGGCAUAGAAGAAAGCGAUCCGUUUUGAAAGUGUUGCUGUUUUCAAAAUUAUUAUUAAUGUUGGCCUGAUGAGAUGAAGACAAGAAAGAGCAACACGCAGCUUUGGCUGAAGAACAUGAAAAGUAAAUUUAAAUAGAAUGUGAGAAUCAAUUCGUUCGUUGAAGUUUGGUGAAGAAGCCAUUAUCGAUGAAGUUCAAAGCGAUGUUUUUCUUCAAUCAAAUGUAGCAGAUAUAAGCUAGCGUCAGGAAUACGUUUAAAAAAGAUCCAACAUGGAUGUAGUAGAGUUGUGAAAGUCCCUUUGCCACCUGUGUCCUUUGCUUCAAUUACUCUCACUAGUUUUUCAUUACGAAUGUGUCAUGGUGAUUCAUGGCCAAGAUUGUUUAUGUGUAGUUUUGAUUCAUUCUUGAUGUCAGUUGUUUGUUCAUAUAAUGAUGAUGGGCCCCAUUGUUGUAUGAGCCCACCUAACGGUGGUCAGCUGAUAAAGAUGAUCAACUCUGCACUAAGCCAUCUUUAAGUGAUGAUAUAACUGGGGUAUUGAAGUCCCUUUUCCUUUCCUCAAAGUUGUGUAUAUAAAUGUUACGAUAUUCUUUCAACAUGAAAACAAAUGAGUGGAAAAGUAGCUACAAAAGAAGAUGGAAAAAGUUUUGUUAUAUGCUACUUGAUUUAUUUCUGUUGUUCUUGUGAAAAUCUCAAUGGUUUUUAUUGGUGGUACUGAUUUUUGGUUUGUUUAUCGAAUGGCACAUUUAUUCAGCUAAAGGUUUACUUAUUGUCUUUGUGAAAGGUGUCGUGAUGUCAAUUAUUGAAAUGUUAACAAUUGCAAGAGUCACUUUAAUGUUGUACAAAGAAAGAUCCAACCAACAUGGAUGUAGUAGAGUUGUGAAAGUCCCUUUGCCACCUGUGUCCUUUGCUUCAAUUACUCUCACUAGUUUUUCAUUACGAAUGUGUCAUGGUGAUUCAUGGCCAAGAUUGUUUAUGUGUAGUUUUGAUUCAUUCUUGAUGUCAGUUGUUUGUUCAUAUAAUGAUGAUGGGCCCCAUUGUUGUAUGAGCCCACCUAACGGUGGUCAGCUGAUAAAGAUGAUCAACUCUGCACUAAGCCAUCUUUAAGUGAUGAUAUAACUGGGGUAUUGAAGUCCCUUUUCCUUUCCUCAAAGUUGUGUAUAUAAAUGUUACGAUAUUCUUUCAACAUGAAAACAAAUGAGUGGAAAAAGUAGCUACAAAAGAAGAUGGAAAA